AUGGUUUGAUCCCAUUGAAAGCGGUCUAUUUACAUAAAUCACUUUUACAUUUACAUAAAGCACCACACUCCCUCCAGGGCAUUAGUGGUUCAGUGAUAGAAUUCUCGCCUGCUCCGCCCCCUCUCCUUGUCACACCCUGAUUUUAACCAGUCACUUUUCUCUCCACCCUCUCUACAUCACAUCUUGUUUACACCCUACUUGGAAAGUAUAUAAGAACAACAUUGUUCGUUUUAGUUAGUUGGUAGUUGUUGGUAGGUAGUUGUGUUAGUUUUAGUCUAGCUCGGCUUAGAUUGCGCUGCGUCCUGCAUGAAUAAAGAGAUACUGCGUACAGCUCAA